UUUUUUUUUUUUUUUUUUUUUAAAGCGACAAUAAAACACAUCCAGCACAUGUAAGCUGAUCAUCUGCAAAUUAACUCAUACGUUCAGAAAUAACUGCUUGUUGUCAUGCAAAACUGUUAAUUCAAACAAGAAAGUGCUCAUUGAACGUCCACCUGCCACAGAGCAUUCACUUUAAAAGAAAUAGUAUCCUAAUCAAAUUAAUCAAGAAUCAAUGAUCAAAUCUACUCUGCACAUGCGCAAACAGAGUCGCCCCCUCUCCCUCCCUGACCCGAUCAUUCCUCAUGAUUAAUGCUAAUUCUAAUGACAGCAGCCCUGUCAGCUGGCCGCUCACAUGUACUGCCUUCAGGAGUCGCUCUCGUUACAAGAGGCGCACCAGCACCACGGAGGUGUGCCGCAGAGAGCAGAUGAGGGUGUGUGACGGAGUCUGUGUGUCCAGACAGACUCCACCCCAGCCUCACUUUCCUGUCGCCCGGCAACCCUUUAAGACACAACAAUGAACCAUCCACAGCCCGAAGGAAGAAGCUGACAGUCACAUGAACAGCGGCAGUCACAGCUGCUGCUGAGGAAUUUUGCUCUCCUUAAAAAAAAAAAAAAAAAAAAAGUACCCUAAUAAUCAGCAGUGUUAACAAUUAGUCCUCUGUCCCGGAGAGCUUGGAGACAUUCUUACUCACUCGGCCUCUUCUGUGGUUCACUGCAGUGCAGUGCCUAAUUAUAGCAGCGGAGUUGGCAAACACCAGAUCACCGGCACAAGUUCGACAAUGUUGUUUCAACAGGCUCGCGUUAUGUAACCGUCAGAUCUGGGCAGCAUUAAAGAACUCCUCAUGAGUUUCUGGGACCGUGAUGAAGCAUCCUUCAUAAACUUCUCAUGAGAUAAACAG